rnacentral:lncRNA from 10 species
AGACCUGAGGUAUCAGGGGUAGGGGUUGCUCUGCUUGUGUAAGUCCCAUAGUGUGAAGGCCAGAGAACCAAGAGAUGGUCAAGAAGAGAGAGUAAGUGUCCAAUGUCCCAGCUCAAGAAGAGAGAAAACUUUUGUGGAUAGCUAAGUUACUGCUAGCCAUCUGAUUAUAGCAAUGGCUUCCAGGAGCAUCACGACCUGUGCAGACUCCCCAGCAUCAUAACAGGAAGGUCCCACGAUCACGAGCACAUUGCCUUCAGCAUCCAGCACUGAAUAUGGUGAAUUGCACUCUGAAGAGCUUCCUAAGCUUGUAAGAAAGUGAUUCUGAAAAGCUCAACAUUUUGGUAGAAUGGAGAGAUUUGACAUUGCUUCUGCUCCAAAAGCAAAAGACUUGGGAAGGGCACCCUGGGAGUUGAGAACAUCCACCACAGAGAGGUAAGUUCCUACUUGGCAGUUUGCCGCAGCAAUUACCACCUCGUGCUCCAUCACUACCUUUCCACUCCGUCUCCCACCCUUACACCAGGCUUGUGAUUCAAAGGCCUUCAGGCCAGGGGUAACAAACUAUGGCCUGUGGGCCAAAUCUAACCCACUGACUGUUUUCCAAAUAAAGUUCCACUGGAACACAGGCAUA